rnacentral:misc_RNA from 1 species
CGCGAACGCGUUGACAAUCCUACCCCCAAUCCCCCCAUGAGCUAUGAUCACCUUACGCACCAACAGAAACACAAUACUGCUUGAAAACAGUAUUAUUUAGCUGUGGUCUUCUGUAAGAUCGACGUCCUCAGUCGGGCUGCUCCACAUUUUGAAAUUUCACGCUGUGCCCUACCUCAGUUUGUACUAUACCGUACAAUAAGCAUUCAUAAUACUGUGUAUAUGUAUUUUCUACUAUAUAAAAAUUCUCGUGUCGCGAUAUUUGUUACCAAACCCCUCCGAAACGGCUGGAUCGAUUUUUAUGAAAUUUUGUGUGCAUAUCGGGUAAGUUUGAGAAUCGGCGAACAUCUAUUUUCAUACCACUAAAUGAUAAGGAUCACCUAGAUUUUUUUAAUUUUUUGACAAAAAGUUUUAUUUUUAUUUUAUUAUAAUUUGACAUUAAAAAUUACAUACAACCCUAAAUUUUUAUCCUUCUACCACCAACCCCUAUUUUUAAUAGCGUUUAGUGGCAAGACAACGUUUGCCGGUCAGCUAGUGUCAUAUAAAAUUGAUUUUUACUUUUAACCAGAACAAUCUUUACUGUAGAUAUAAUUGUGCGGCAAUACGAUAGCUACAGUUUACAACAAUCAAUUCCCGGAACUACGUAUUUCAUAGAAUUAAUAUUAACAGUACUGUCAUUGGCAAAGUGACGUCUCGACACUCUUAGAAAGUUGUAUAAUAUUAGAUAUUGGGCUCAUUAUAAUGCUUGUAAGUUUGAUAAUAGUUAGUCUAAACGUUGAAUUGUUACCAUUAGUUAAUUGAUUUGUGUAAUUAUAUUUAUUAAGUAAUAUUUAUAAAUAAAGUUAAGGCAAUUAGUACAAUAAUAGGGCUAGUAUUAAUAAUUAAUGUUUGUUUGUUGAUAUUGCAAAAAUAAUCUUGUUCUGGUAACUCUGCUUAAGUUUUUGGGCUUUCGAAUGAGACUAAAACUGUAGGUAUGUGUGUCCGCAACAAAUAAAGCUGUCUGAAAGCUGCUGAUAAUAUUGCAAGUCAAAAAUACAUAAAUUAAUAAUUUUACAGACAA